GUCAGGACCAGGGACCAGGGAUCAGGACCGGGGACCAGGGAUCAGGACCAGGGACCAGGGAUCAGGGCCAGGGGCCAGGGCCUGGGGCUCAGGGAUUAGAACUGUGAUGGGGCCAUGGCUGGAGCAAGUGAGGGCUUUGGGGCCUGAGGAGGCCUCGGGUGACAGGGACAACAGCAGUGUCGGCCACCAAGAUGGGGAUGGACAGUGUUUCCUUGGCUUCUGCCAAGUCCUCUCCAGAUAAAUGAGUCAAGCAGAAGUCACAAGGCGCCCUGAGCCAGAAGCUCGGUGUGGGGCUGAUCUCAGCUACCUCUCUGUGGGCCCCGGGGUGGAGCAGCGGAAGGGCAGGCGGCCAGAACAGCAGGGGACCAACCAGAUGGAUGUGGGUGGUGCGGACCCUGAGGCAGCCAGACUCGGAGGCCAAGCCAGGGCCAAGGGGGCUGCAGAAACGAUCACCAGGAGCUGAAACAUGCAAGACGGGGAGAUUCCUGACUGGAAAGUGCAUCCACUUCUGCGUUCACAGAGGAAGGAUGGGAGGGCAGGGCGUCCCGGAGGACCUGUUAUUCUUCUACGAGCACCUCAGGAAGGGUGGCGGCGUCAUCCGCGUGGACCAGAGUCUUCUGCUGUACCGAUACCACCUGCGGGCGGCCACGCACUCCGUCCUUGAGGCGACCAUCUGGACCCACCGCGUCCACUUCCUGGAAGAGCAGGCCCUACCCCGCUGGGCAGCCUUCACCAUCUGGAACGCCGGCAAGCAGGGGCGCCGGCUAUACCGCAGCUUGACCGCUGCCAGCCAGCGCAAGGUGGUGGCAUUCUGUGACGUGGACGAGAACAAGAUCCGGAAAGGCUUCUAUUGCCACGAGGACUCUCAGGAAAGACCCAAGCCCCGAAUCCCCAUCCUGCACUUCCGAGCCGCCCAGCCACCCUUCGUCAUCUGCGUGAAGCUGAAACUUGCAAAGCACGAGACCCUACGGUGCAGUGUCUGAGGGGCCAAGGUCAGGACCUUCAGCUCCCGUGGACUGAGGUGGCCGCACCGGGGAUGUCCGAAGCCCCUGAGUGUGAACGACCUUGCCUGGGGUGGGCAGGUGACAGGCACCUCCGGCUCCAAAUGCAGCCUUUUUCCCCAAGCGUGGGAAGUCCAGUUGGCUGCAGGGGGCUGAGGACCUCACAGGGGGCGCCUUUGAGGACAACCUGAGGUCGCUGCACUUGCAGGAGGGCCAGGACUUCCUUCACUUCAGCUGACGGACCCAGGGCAGCUGCUCCCAGAAGCCACUUGUUGCCUCCAUCCUCAGUGCAUCCCAGGCCAGCAGGAGCUUCAUGAGCUGCAGGCAUGGCAACGGUGCACCCCAGUUCCACACCCAGCAGGCGCAACCACAGAGUCUCGUGUGUGCUGACCACAGGAGCCGAACCUUCUCCACCGUGUGGACUCAUGUGGCCAAGGCUGGGCCUGGUCACCCAGGACUCUCACCACAUGACCCCAGCCAAUCGAGGGGUCAGUUCGAGGAGGAGGAGACCCCAAUUACACAGGUUGGAAUAAAAUGUUUAAAUCUCGUAAAAA